CAGCAGCAGCGGUAACACGUAGGGGGCGAGCGUUGUCCGGAUUUAUUGGGCGUAAAGAGCUCGUAGGCGGCUCAGUAAGUCAGGUGUGAAAACUCCAGGCUCAACCUGGAGACGCCACUUGAUACUGCUGUGGCUAGAGUCCGGUAGGGGAGCAUGGAAUUCCUGGUGUAGCGGUGAAAUGCGCAGAUAUCAGGAGGAACACCAGUGGCGAAGGCGGUGCUCUGGGCCGGAACUGACACUGAGGCACGAAAGCGUGGGGAGC
rnacentral:rRNA from 1 species